CCUACGGGUUGCAGCAGUGGGGAAUAUUGCACAAUGGGCGCAAGCCUGAUGCAGCCAUGCCGCGUGUAUGAAGAAGGCCUUCGGGUUGUAAAGUACUUUCAGCGGGGAGGAAGGUGUUGUGGUUAAUAACCACAGCAAUUGACGUUACCUGCAGAAGAAGCACCGGCUAACUCCGUGCCAGCAGCCGCGGUAAUACGGAGGGUGCAAGCGUUAAUCGGAAUUACUGGGCGUAAAGCGCACGCAGGCGGUCUGUCAAGUCGGAUGUGAAACCCCCGGGCUCAACCUGGGAACUGCAUUCGAAACUGGCAGGCUAGAGUCUUGUAGAGGGGGGUAGAAUUCCAGGUGUGGCGGUGAAAUGCGUAGAGAUCUGGAGGAAUACCGGUGGCGAAGGCGGCCCCCUGGACAAAGACUGACGCUCAGGUGCGAAAGCGUGGGGAGCAAACAGGAUUAGAUACCCGCGUAGUC
rnacentral:rRNA from 1 species